GGUAGUCUAGUGGUUAGAGCGUCCGCCUCGGAUGCGGGAGGUCGUUUGUUCUAUUUCCGGUCGAGUCAUAUCAAAGACU